CACCAGUCAAGCACAGUUCUACAAUCAAGGAGCUGAUGGAUGCCCUCCUACUCCCAGAAGGAGUGGCUAUUUUGAAGAUAAAAGCACAUGGGAAGUUGGACUCAGAUGAAGCAAAGGGCAACCAUCUAGCUGAUCAGGCUGCAAACCAAGCUGCAAGAGAACCACAGGAAGUGGAAAGAAGAGUGUCCAGAAAUGAAGAAACUCCCAUAUUUACUCUGCAGACUCUUCCAACUGACCUGAAAAUCCUACGGGAACAACAGGCUACAGUUGCCCCUGAAGAAAUACAGAAGUGGAAACAGAAAGGGGCAGUUCUAAGAGAUGGAGUGUAUUACAACAAUCUCAGAUUCUGCCUUCCUAAGAAUCUAUACCCAGCAGUUGUUCAGUGGGCACAUGGCCCUGC